UUUAUACUCCCUCCGUCCGAAAAUACUUGUCGGAGGAAUGGAUGUAUCUAGACGUAUUUUAGUUAUAGAUACAUUCAUUUUUAUGCAUUUCCCGACAAGUAUUUCGGAACGGAGGGAGUAUAUA
rnacentral:pre_miRNA from 1 species